UAUUUGAAAGAGGAAGAUCAGGGACCACCAUAUUUAAUAGACUUUCAGAUCCCAUUGCUUCCAAGACGUGUCUCUAUGUUGUUUCCUCUAAGAAAUAACACAAAAUACCACCAAUUACAAUUUCAAGAUGUUAACGAUUGGAAGCAGGCCCUGCUUUCAGAGCUUUUAAAUCGAGAGAAACUGUAUGACAGAGUUGAUGAAAUAUGGUACUGUUCUGAGUGUCUACUGUAUCCAAGGAAUGAACAAGGAUGUGCCUUCUUUAUUCAUUUAAUUCUUUCAACAGACCCAAGAGGUCUGUUUUUGGGAAGAGGUGAACCAGUAUCACCUGGAGGACAGGCAUACCUGAGAGCCCCGGGGAGUUAUUUUCUGUGCCUCAACUGGAGCUACCUCCUCCUUCAGUGACCAUUUCCCUCAAGGACCAAGAGACCUCCUCAGAUGAGGUGUGCAUGUAUCUGCGGGGAAGGUUUUAAGUUUGGCUGUGUCCCAACACGCUCUGAGGCAGAGGUUUGGGGCUUAGCCAGUCAGACCUCCUUUUUACCUGUCUGACUGAGACUUCCCAGAAGAGCUCUGGAAAGUCAGAGAAAAUGUCAGCUGGAGUGUUUGAGCAAGCAGAAACAGGAUGUAUUUCACACUGAAGGUAAUUACAUGGUGGUGUGUAGUAAAGGGGACUGAGGCAGUUGAAGUCACACAACAGAGAUGCCUCCGAUUGGCUGAGGAAUGUUUCUCCGUCGUGGAUAAAUAUUUUGCAGGAGUUACCUGGGUGAAAACCAGCUUCCUGUAAAGGAUUGAUUAAAAAACAAAUAAAUAAAUACUCUUGA